CCUACGGGUGGCAGCAGUGGGGGAUAUUGGUCAAUGGGGGAAACCCUGAACCAGCAACGCCGCGUGAGGGAAGACGGCCUUCGGGUUGUAAACCUAAGUGAUCAGGGAUGAAACAAAUGACAGUACCUGAAAAGCAAGCUCCGGCUAACUACGUGCCAGCAGCCGCGGUAAUACGUAGGGAGCAAGCGUUGUCCGGAUUUACUGGGUGUAAAGGGUGCGUAGGCGGGAACACAAGUCAGGCGUGAAAUACCGGGGCUCAACUCCGGGGCUGCGCUUGAAACUGUGUUUCUUGAGUGAAGUAGAGGCAGGCGGAAUUCGUGGUGUAGCGGUGAAAUGCUUAGAUAUCACGAAGAACUCCGAUUGCGAAGGCAGCUUACUAAACUGCCACUGACAUUGAUGCUCGAAAGUGUGGGUAUCAAACAGGAUUAGAUACCCUUGUAGUC
rnacentral:rRNA from 1 species